AGAUGAGUCAAAGGGGCCUAUCUGUCGUCGGUGAGAUCUCACACCGCCGCCACAUCACCGGAGCAACGACGUCGGACACUCAACGACAUUUCGACGACACAAAAUCCCUCAGUUUAUUUUGUUUUCCCCUUUGAUCUUCCCGUUUGGCUUCGGAUUUGUUCGAACAGCAGUUUGGGUUUUUGGCGGAGUCAACGAAAAAACGCGGUGGUCCCUUUCGUGAAUCGGAGAAUGGCG
rnacentral:misc_RNA from 1 species